GACGAACGCUGGCGGCGUGCUUAACACAUGCAAGUCGAACGGAAAGGCCCCUUUUGGGGUACUCGAGUGGCGAACGGGUGAGUAACACGUGAGUAACCUGCCCUUGACUUCGGGAUAACUUCAGGAAACUGGGGCUAAUACCGGCUAGGAAUCCUUUCUGCAUGGUGGGGGUUGGAAAGCUUCGGCGGUUUUGGAUGGACUCGCGGCUUAUCAGCUUGUUGGUGGGGUAGUGGCUUACCAAGGCUUUGACGGGUAGCCGGCCUGAGAGGGCGACCGGCCACAUUGGGACUGAGAUACGGCCCAGAAUCCUAAGGGAGGCAGCAGUGGGGAAUAUUGCACAAUGGGCGGAAGCCUGAUGCAGCAAAGCCGCGUGCGGGAUGACGGCCUUCGGGUUGGAAACCGCUUUCAGCAGGGGAGAAGCUUGUGGUGACGGUACCUGCAGAAGAAGCACCGGCUAACUACGUG
rnacentral:rRNA from 1 species